GUCCCCUUCGUCUAGCUCGGUCUAGGACAGUUCCCUUUCACGGAACAAACACGGGUUCGAAUCCCGUAGGGGACACCA
rnacentral:tRNA from 1 species